CCUACGGGUGGCAGCAGUAAGGAAUAUUGGUCAAUGGAGGAAACUCUGAACCAGCCAUCCCGCGUGAAGGAUGAAGGGGCUCUGCCUUGUAAACUUCUUUUGUCUGGGGCGAAAAAGCUCGAUUUAUCGAGAACUGACGGUACCAGAAGAAUAAGCACCGGCUAACUCCGUGCCAGCAGCCGCGGUAAUACGGAGGGUGCAAGCAUUACUCGGAAUCAAGGGUUUUUAAGGGUCCGAAGACGUCAGUGGAGAAAGGCUGUGGCUUAACCAUGGAAUUGCCAUUGAUACUGCAGAGCUUGAAUGAGGUUGAGGUUGGCGGAAUGUGACAUGUAGCGGUGAAAUGCUUAGAUAUGUCAUGGAACACCGAUUGCGAAGGCAGCUGACUGGACCUAUAUUGACGCUGAGGCACGAAAGCGUGGGGAGCGAACAGGAUUAGAUACCCCAGUAGUC
rnacentral:rRNA from 1 species